GUGCCACACAGCAAGCCUGCUCCUAAAUCAAAGUUCCAGGACAAGCAAGUUGGCCUCUUUCUCCGAAAGCCCUGGGGUGUAUUUCAGGCUGCUCUCUGCGUAGUACCCUGGGGGUGGUGGCCUGCCAAGAGCUGUCUAUCGGAUUGCUAGAUUCUUGUCCAUGCAGGAAUACAGGGGCCCCUGGCCGCCAGAGCCAAGGAAUCAAGCUGCCAAAACCAGAGGACCAGAGGCAAAAACUGGGGCACCAGAUAAGCAUAAGAGCUCCUCUCGAAGAGAUGCUGGCCCACUGGAGCUGAGCAGAGGACCCAAACUGACCUCAGAGAUGACCCCUCUCCUGUUGAGAAACCUGCCAAGAAUGAACAGAAUCCCAUCACCGCAGAGACUGCUGAAAAACUGGCCUGUGUGGCCUGAAGUUUGCUAAGUAUGUGGCGUGUUCUGUACUCACACAGAAAGGCAUAAAGAAUGUAUUUAACGAAACAAUUUUGGCUGCCCUGGAGACGCCAGAACCGAAGAACAGCCACAGGUGUGUGCUGCUAUCAACAACUCUCCAGGAGUGUUUCUGCAUAGCUGGUGUCCGCAUGAUCCUACAAGCAAUGUUUCAAUCAAACUAAGGGUUACAAAUUAAAAUUUGUUUGUGCAAUAAUAACAAAACUGCACCUACUUGCGUGUACUUACGUGAGACAAGGCCCAUAGAUGUGGCCUCCUUCCCUCUCUCAAUGCCAGUGAAUUUUGAGUAGUUGUGGGU
ensembl:lncRNA